GUYUUUUUGAAUAUAAUUUAAAGUCUAACCUGCCCAUUGAUUAUUUAAAAGGCCGCAGUAUUUUGACUGUGCAAAGGUAGCAUAAUCAUUAGUUUCUUAAUUAGAAGCUUGUAUGAAUGGUUGAAUAAAAAAAAAUCUGUCUCAAAUUAAAUAAAUUGAAUUUUAUUUUUAAGUUAAAAAGCUUAAAUUUAUUUAAAAGACGAGAAGACCCUAUAGAGUUUUAUAAAAAUUUAAAAUUUAAAUGUUUUAAGGAUGAAAUUUUAAACUUAAAUUUUUAUUUGGUUGGGGUGAUUAAAAAAUUUAAUAAACUUUUUUUUAUUAAAAACAUAAAUUAGUGAAUAAUUGAUCCAUUAAAAUGAUUAAAAGAAUAAAUUACCUUAGGGAUAACAGCGUAAUUUUUUUUGAGAGUUCUAAUCGAUAAAAUAGAUUGCGACCUCGAUGUUGGAUUAAAGUAAAAUUAUGGUGUAGAAGCUAUAAGAUUAGGUCUGUUCGACCUUUAAAACUUUACA
rnacentral:rRNA from 1 species